GAGAGAGAGAUUGAUUUGGCCAUGGGU
rnacentral:piRNA from 1 species